rnacentral:rRNA from 1 species
AACGAACGCUGGCGGCAUGCCUAACACAUGCAAGUCGAACGAGACCUUCGGGUCUAGUGGCGCACGGGUGCGUAACGCGUGGGAACCUGCCCUUAGGUUCGGAAUAACUCCCCGAAAGGGGUGCUAAUACCGGUUAAUGUCUUCGGACCAAAGAUUUAUCGCCUUUGGAUGGGCCCGCGUUGGAUUAGCUAGUUGGUAGUGUAAAAGCCUACCAAGGCGACGAUCCAUAGCUGGUCUGAGAGGAUGAUCAGCCACACUGGGACUGAGACACGGCCCAGACUGCUACGGGAGGGAGCAGUGGGGAAUAUUGGACAAUGGGCGAAAGCCUGAUACAGCAGUGCCACGUGAGAGAUGAAGGGCUUAGGGUUGUAAAGCUCUUUUAGCCGGGAUGAUAAUGACAGUACCGGGAGAAUAAGCACCGGCUAACUCCGUG